CUGAUUCGGCAAAAAUAGAUUAAGCCAGGGGAUUCAUGUUUGGUCCGUCAAUUGCAUUGGAGAUAUUGGUGCAAAAUUGAUAUAUCUGUCUCAAUUCAUUUUUAAUUUUACAAUUUAGGUUGAUAAUUCUCACUUUACUCUUUGAAGCAACGCCGUUUUCCGCUUUUGCACUUGAAAUUAAGCUGACUGGCAUGAUUUUGUGAAUUUAGCAUUCAACUUUAAUGAGAAUAAUAAAAAACCAACAAGCUGAGAAGAGAAAAAGUAAGUGAUCAAUCAAAUAGAUACUGUGGUAUUGUAUCUUAUUUAUCUAAGAUAUUAAAUCUGCUAAAUCAAAGUGCUUACUACUUUUGAUAGGUAACGAGCUAUUAGAAUGCUUUUAGUUUUGUUCAAGGUGAGUAACUGUUACAAUUGUUUUUUUAGUUUCUUUGAUUUAUUUGUAUUGGUUUUGUAGCUAUGUACCAUUGUAUAAUUUUGUCUAUGUUUACAGUGAUCUGAUGUAUUCAAAUUUCAACUUUGUUGACCGGUAUGUCAAGAAGUAUUAGACUAGUCCCUUUUGAGUUAUUAUUGAGUUGAUAGUUCUUUCUCUGCAUUCUACCAUCACUUAAUGUACUUUACUAAUGUGAGUUUUGUUUUUCUUAUUAGAUUUAAGGAUAUUGGCCCUAAUGGCAAUGAUCAAGUGUAAGAUGGGAUGAGGCUAACAUUGUAAAACAAACAUGUGAGGUAGAAAAUUACUGAGCCUAAGACUCUGUAUCACCCUAUGAUUGAAGAUGAA